rnacentral:pre_miRNA from 1 species
ACGUACAACCGUAUGUCUUUAAGUAGUGAUAAUUUACUUUUAACGAAAGGAUCCUAGAUAGUUUUCUCUUCAAGUCAAGCAUAUUGU